rnacentral:misc_RNA from 1 species
GCGGAAGGAUCAUUAGCGCGCAGGCCGGAGGCUGGCCCCCCACGAUAGGGCCAAACGUCCGUCAGGGGUGAGCAGAUGUGCGCCGGCCGUACCGCCCCAUUCUUGUCUACAUUACUCGGUUGCCUCGGCGGGCCGCGCUCUCCCAGGAGAGCCGUUCGGCGAGCCUCUCUUUAGUGGCUAAACGCUGGACCGCGCCCGCCGGAGGACAGACGCAAAAAAAUUCUUUCAGAAGAGCUGUCAGUCUGAGCGUUAGCAAGCAAAAAUCAGUUAAAACUUUCAACAACGGAUCUCUUGGUUCCGGCAUCGAUGAAGAACGCAGCGAAAUGCGAUAAGUAAUGUGAAUUGCAGAAUUCCGUGAAUCAUCGAAUCUUUGAACGCACAUUGCGCCCCCUGGCAUUCCGGGGGGCAUGCCUGUUCGAGCGUCAUUUCAGCCCCUCAAGCCCGGCUUGUGUGAUGGACGACCGUCCGGCGCCCCCGUCUUUGGGGGUGCGGGACGCGCCCGAAAAGCAGUGGCCAGGCCGCGAUUCCGGCUUCCUAGGCGAAUGGGCAACAAACCAGCGCCUCCAGGACCGGCCGCCCUGGCCUCAAAAUCUGUUUUAUACUUAUCAGGUUGACCUCGGAUCAG